GGGAAGUUCAAAACAAGGAAGCAUAUUUUUAAGCUGAGAGGAGAAAGAUUUUAAAAGGAUGAAGAGCAACUUUUUACGCAGAGAGUUGGUCGUGUAUGGAGUGAACUUCCAGAGAAAGUGGUCAACGCAGAUGCCAUUUUGUUGGGACUGCAUAACUGUAUUUCCAGACGCUGUGGGGAAAGAAAAGCUGUAGGACCCCAGCACAAUGGAGACUGUCUCAGAGAACAAUGUGGCAUCACAUUUUCUGAAGUUGUAUUUGGAGCUCUAUCAUUCUAUUUCCACCAGGGGACAGGCCACAGGAAUUCAAUCCCAUAUCAUAACAAAUGAAACAGUGCAUCAUCCAGAGACAGCUAUAUUUUAAGCAGUCAGUACGCUACCUGACAACUGAAGCCGGACUAACCCUACACUUAACGAG